UACGUAGGGGGCAAGCGUUGUACGGAAUUAUUGGGCGUAAAGCGCGCGUAGGCGGUUACGUAAGUUGGAUGUGAAAGGCUACGGCUCAACCGUAGAGCGGCAUCCAAAACUGCGUAACUUGAGUGCAGGAGAGGAGAGUGGAAUUCCCGGUGUAGCGGUGGAAUGCGUAGAGAUCGGGAGGAACACCAGUGGCGAAGGUGACUCUCGGGCCUGUAACUGACGCUGAGGUGCGAAAGCGUGGGGAGCGAACAGG
rnacentral:rRNA from 1 species